GACGAACGCUGGCGGCGUGCCUAAUACAUGCAAGUCGAGCGGACCUCUUCGGAGGUCAGCGGCGGACGGGUGAGUAACACGUGGGCAACCUGCCUGUAAGACUGGGAUAACACCGGGAAACCGGUGCUAAUACCGGAUAAUCCUUCUCCUCUCAUGAGGGGAAGCUGAAAGACGGUUUCGGCUGUCACUUACAGAUGGGCCCGCGGCGCAUUAGCUAGUUGGUGGGGUAACGGCCCACCAAGGCGACGAUGCGUAGCCGACCUGAGAGGGUGAUCGGCCACACUGGGACUGAGACACGGCCCAGACUCCUACGGGAGGCAGCAGUAGGGAAUCUUCCGCAAUGGACGAAAGUCUGACGGAGCAACGCCGCGUGAGCAAAGAAGGCCUUCGGGUCGUAAAGCUCUGUUGUCAGGGAAGAACACGUACCGGAGUAACUGCCGGUACCUUGACGGUACCUGACCAGAAAGCCACGGCUAACUACGUGCCAGCCGCCGCGGUAAUAC
rnacentral:rRNA from 1 species